AGUGAACCCUCAUUAAGUUUGCAGAUGAUACCAACUGGGGGAAAGUGGUGAUCUGCUGGAGGGUAGGAAGGCCCUGCAGAGGGACCUGGACAGGUUGGAUCGAUGGGCAGAGGUCAACUGGAUGAGGUUCUACAUGGCUAAGUGCUGAGUCCUGCACUUUGGCCACAACAACUCCAUGCAGCACUACAGGCUUGGGGCAGAGUUGCUGGAAAGCUGUGCAGAGGAAAAGAAUCUGGGGGUAUUGGUCAAUGCUCACCUGAACAUGAGCCAGCAGUGUGCUCAGGUGACCAAGAAGGCCAACGUCAUCCUGGCUUGUAUCAAGAUGUGUAGCCAGCAGGGCCAGUGAGGUGAUCGUCCCCCUGUACUCGGCUCUGGUGAGGCCGCACCUCGAGUACUGUGUUCAGUUUUGGGCCCCUCGCUACA